GAAGACAAGCGCUUUUGUUUUUUACGUUUAUCUUAAUCUAGCCAGUCCCAAUGUCGGUCCUAAGCCCGAAAUGCGUUCAUUACGUAUAAUAGAGAAGGGGGU
rnacentral:ribozyme from 1 species